GACGAACGCUGGCGGCGUGCUUAACACAUGCAAGUCGAACGGAAAGGCCCUGCUUUUGUGGGGUGCUCGAGUGGCGAACGGGUGAGUAACACGUGAGUAACCUGCCCUUGACUUUGGGAUAACUUCUGGAAACUGGGGCUAAUACCGGAUAGGAGCUCCUGCUGCAUGGUGGGGGUUGGAAAGUUUCGGCGGUUGGGGAUGGACUCGCGGCUUAUCAGCUUGUUGGUGGGGUAGUGGCUUACCAAGGCUUUGACGGGUAGCCGGCCUGAGAGGGUGACCGGCCACAUUGGGACUGAGAUACGGCCCAGACUCCUACGGGAGGCAGCAGUGGGGAAUAUUGCACAAUGGGCGGAAGCCUGAUGCAGCAACGCCGCGUGCGGGAUGACGGCCUUCGGGUUGUAAACCGCUUUCGCCUGUGACGAAGCGUGAGUGACGGUAAUGGGUAAAGAAGCACCGGCUAACUACGUGCCAGCAGCCGCGGUGAUACGUAGGGUGCGAGCGUUGUCCGGAUUUAUUGGGCGUAAAGGGCUCGUAGGUGGUUGAUCGCGUCGGAAGUGUAAUCUUGGGGCUUAACCCUGAGCGUGCUUUCGAUACGGGUUGACUUGAGGAAGGUAGGGGAGAAUGGAAUUCCUGGUGGAGCGGUGGAAUGCGCAGAUAUCAGGAGGAACACCAGUGGCGAAGGCGGUUCUCUGGGCCUUUCCUGACGCUGAGGAGCGAAAGCGUGGGGAGCGAACAGGCUUAGAUACCCUGGUAGUCCACGCUGUAAACGGUGGGUACUAGGUGUGGGGUCCAUUCCACGGGUUCCGUGCCGUAGCUAACGCUUUAAGUACCCCGCCUGGGGAGUACGGCCGCAAGGCUAAAACUCAAAGGAAUUGACGGGGCCCCGCACAAGCGGCGGAGCAUGCGGAUUAAUUCGAUGCAACGCGUAGAACCUUACCUGGGUUUGACAUGGAUCGGGAGUGCUCAGAGAUGGGUGUGCCUCUUUUGGGGUCGGUUCACAGGUGGUGCAUGGCUGUUGUCAGCUCGUGUCGUGAGAUGUUGGGUUAAGUCCCGCAACGAGCGCAACCCUUGUUCACUGUUGCCAGCACGUUAUGGUGGGGACUCAGUGGAGACCGCCGGGGUCAACUCGGAGGAAGGUGGGGAUGACGUCAAGUCAUCAUGCCCCUUAUGUCCAGGGCUUCACGCAUGCUACAAUGGCUGGUACAGAGAGUGGCGAGCCUGUGAGGGUGAGCGAAUCUCGGAAAGCCGGUCUCAGUUCGGAUUGGGGUCUGCAACUCGACCUCAUGAAGUCGGAGUCGCUAGUAAUCGCAGAUCAGCAACGCUGCGGUGAAUACGUUCCCGGG
rnacentral:rRNA from 1 species